CCAAAUACCACAACCUGUUCCCAGCGUUCUAGCAAUUCGGCUGUUUUAGGAUUUCUAAUUUCCUCUACCCUCCGUGGACGAUUCUCUUCAAUAAAAUUUUCUGUAACUGCCAUGCAGUACCUGCAAAAUACAAAAAUUGCGUACCUGGCUUGUUCCGACAAUAAAGACUGCUGUUCAACGCAAAUUAUGCACAUCUCGUGUCGAUAAGCGAGCGUUCUAGCGAGGUGGCCAAUUCCGGCUCCAACGUCGACAGCGCAUUCCGAUUUCGCCGAAGCAGCGCAAUCCGCUAUUAUCUGAAAAUUCAGCAAACCUUCAGAGUUUACAACGUCGAUUCUUGGCAAAUUAAACGGGACAGAAAUCGAUAAAAACUAACCACGAUGUAGGCGUCCAGAAGCCAUCGGUAUUUGUCAAGAACGAUAAAUAUUUGGCGUACGGUUUCUCGCACGGAGUCGCAA